rnacentral:rRNA from 1 species
UACAGAGGUCCCAAGCGUUGUUCGGAUUCACUGGGCGUAAAGGGUGCGUAGGAGGGCAGGUAAGUCAGUGGUGAAAUCUCUGGGCUUAACCCAGAAACUGCCGUUGAUACUAUCUGUCUUGAAUACCGUGGAGGUGAGCGGAAUAUGUCAUGUAGCGGUGAAAUGCUUAGAUAUGACAUAGAACACCAAUUGCGAAGGCAGCUCGCUACACGAAUAUUGACUCUGAGGCACGAAAGCGUGGGGAUCAAACAGG